ensembl:lncRNA
CCACUAUCUGGUCAUUAAACUAGCCACUACUUGGUCAUUAAACUAGCCACCACCUGGUCAUUAAACUAGCCACUACCUGGUCAUUAAACUAGCCACUACCUGGUCAUUAAACUAGCCACUACCUGGUCAUUAAACUAGCCACUACCUGGUCAUUAAACUAGCCACUACCUGGUCAUUAAACUAGCCACUACCUGGUCAUUAAACUAGCCACCACCUGGUCAUUAAACUAGCCCCCACCUGGUCAUUAAACUAGCCACUACCUGGUCAUUAAACUAGCCACUUCCUGGUCAUUUGUCGUGGAAAUGUCCUGUAUUACCAAAUCAUGAGAGAGCAAACCACACACAAGGUUAGGCCAGGACCAGGUACAUACAGGUCAGGACCAGGUACAUACAGGUCAGGUUAGGACCAGGUACAUACAGGUUAGGACCAGGUACAUACAGGUCAGGACCAGGUACAUACAGGUCAGGACCAGGUACAUACAGGUCAGGACCAGGUACAUACAGGUCAGGACCAGGUACAUACAGGUUAGGACCAGGUACAUACAGGUCAGGACCAGGUACAUACAGGUCAGGACCAGGUACAUAUAGGUCAGGACCAGGUACAUACAGGUCAGGACCAGGUACAUACAGGUCAAGUUAGGACCAGGUACAUACAGGUCAGGACCAGGUACAUACAGGUCAGGACCAGGUACAUACAAGUCAGGACCAGGUACAUACAGGUCAGGACCAGGUAUAUACAGGUCAGGACCAGGUACAUACAGGUCAGGACCAGGUACAUACAGGUCAGGUUAGGACCAGGUACAUACAGGUCAGGUCAGGACCAGGUACAUACAGGUCAGGACCAGGUACAUACAGGUCAGGACCAGGUACAUACAGGUCAGGACCAGGUACAUACAGGUCAGGUUAGGACCAGGUACAUGCAGGUCAGGACCAGGUACAUACAGGUCAGGUCAGGUCAGGACCAGGUACAUACAGGUCAGGACCAGGUACAUACAGGUCAGGUCAGGUUAGGACCAGGUACCAGUGGUAAACAGAUGGAACCACACACCAGACCGGCUGUAUGUUGACGUCAUGGAGAUAGCAUAGAGAUAGGUUGACAUUUAUGAUUGACAGAUGAAACAGACUGAAGUGGUUGUGCAGGUCAGGUACUGACGAACAGAUAGAAGCAUGUCUCAGCAGACCGUAUAGCGCCACUCAGGGUCAACCAGGGUUACCAUGACACAUUUAGGCCCAGUUCCCUCCUUUGACCUAUGACCUAUGCUUAAUCAGUGUCCAGGAAAACACUUAACACUUAUUGUCCCUGUUGACCCAAUACAAACAAAAUAAAUAAUAUAAAUAUUAAUGAAUAAUAAUGAAUAAAAGGUGUCUGGUCAACCGGUUAUGCCGUUUUGUUUUGAGGAACAAUAGGAGGUCCUUUCAUCCGUUGUCUUUCUCCGAUUGUACAUUAUGGUGUAAAUAAAUAAAACACACACACACACAACACAACAUAGCAGAAGCAUGUUUUUGUCUUUCAUCCUUCCUUCCUUCCUUCCUUUCAUCCUUCCUUCCUUCCAUCCUUCCUUCCUUCCUUUCAUCCUUCCUUCCAUCCUUCCUUCCUUUCAUCCUUCCUUCCAUCCUUCCUUCCUUUCAUCCUUCCUUCCUUCCAUCCUUCCUUCCUUCCUUCCAUCCAUCCUUCCUUCCUUCCUUCCAUCCUUCCUUCCUUCCAUCCAUCCUUCCUUUCAUCCUUCCUUCCAUCCUUCCUUCCAUCCAUCCUUCCUUCCUUCCUUCCAUCCUUCCAUCCUUCCAUCCUUCCUUCCUUUCAUCCUUCCUUCCUUUCAUCCUUCCUUCCAUCCUUCCAUCCUUCCUUCCUUUCAUCCUUCCUUCCUUUCAUCCUUCCUUCCUUCCAUCCUUCCUUCUUUCCACUCUCUCUUUCUCUUCACUCCUUACCUUUUUGUAAUGGUCAACUGUAACCGUAGCAUAGAAGCGCUAGAAACAAACGAGGAAUGGAAUAGUACACAUGUACUGUAUGUAAAUCAUAUGUCUUGAUUGGCACUUUCCC